CUGGAACUAAGAUACAUAUGCUAUAGUAGGAGAGUGAACCCAAACAAGAUGACCUGCAGGCAGGAAAUGGCAGAAAGGAGAGCCAGGCUUGACAGGAAGCAAGCGAAAAGCAAUAAGAUCAGGGCCCAUCCGUGAAGUGUCCAUAUGGCAAACAGCAAUCGCUUCCACUUGAUCUCCAUUUUCACCAGCUAGUGAUAUCUUGAAUACCUUUGCAAGUUGAUCAUCAAAAUGGCAAUAGAAAGAAUGAUACAUAGGAUGACAAAAUACCUUACCAGAACCUCCAAUCUCCUGCAGAUUUUCUGUGAUAAUAUAGUCUUGUAAUAAGGCAGUUGAUAAUGAAAGGUAGUGGGUG
rnacentral:misc_RNA from 1 species